rnacentral:snoRNA from 13 species
ACAGUGAGAGGAAGGAAUGAUGUGCUAAAAAUUCCCAAGAAAAGGACUCUGAUUGAAUCUGCUUCACUCUGAUUGAACUAUGGUUAUUUCUGACCUUCCUCCAGCGUGG